rnacentral:rRNA from 1 species
GCCUACGGGGCGCAGCAGUAGGGAAUUUUCGUCAAUGGGCGCAAGCCUGAACGAGCAAUGCCGCGUGAACGAGGAAGGUCUUCGGAUCGUAAAGUUCUGUUGAAGGGGAAACAAAAAAAAAAAAAAAAAUGAACUCCGAUUGAUAUUACCCUUCGAGGAAGCCACGGCUAACUACGUGCCAGCAGCCGCGGUAAUACGUAGGUGGCGAGCGUUAUCCGGAAUGAUUGGGCGUAAAGGGUGCGUAGGCGGCCUGCUAAG